rnacentral:lncRNA from 1 species
GAGGACUGUGAAGCAAUCGGGGCGAGGCCGGGUGUCUGUUCAACUCUCCCGCGUAUCGUCUGUUUCUUCGGCGGCGGACAGUGUUCUGUAAUGUGUCUCCCGUUGCCCGAGCUAAAGGAAGGCAGUCUCCACACCACUGUGCUCGAACAGCUCUAUGAAGAGGCCUAUGUGGAGAGGAGAAAAAGCCUCCACCAACAGCCAGCACCAACUUGCCAGCCAUAUAUGAACUCUCGCUAUGUUGCCUCGGCUGGUCUCAAACUCCUGGGCUCAAGUGAUCCUCCCACUUCGGCCUCCCAAAGUCAGUAAAUAUAGUUUUUAAAUUGUUGGUAAAAUAAAAUAAAAACAUAUUCAAAUUUUAA